GCUGGAAUAGUCUAAAUGGUUAAAACAUCUCAUUCAUAACGAGAAUUUAAAGGUUCGAGUCCUUUUUUCAGCC
rnacentral:tRNA from 1 species